rnacentral:lncRNA from 1 species
UAUUAGUGUUGUCAACGGUUAACCGGUUAACCGGUUAAUCGGUCGAACGACCGAAUACCGAAUACCAAAAACGCUAACCGGUUAACCGGACUUUUUUUCAAUUUCGAUAGAUUUGAUAUAAAUUUGUGUUGAAAAUCAAAUCAUUAAAUAGUUAUGUUUUAUUUAAAAAUUGUCAUCGUGGUAAUUAGUUAGUCCAGUAUAUUGAUUGCUAUUGUUAAUCCUAAAAACAUAAAAUUAAUUAGAGUUCGGGGCAGGAUCUUUAAGAAACAUAAUUAGUAAACAUGUUUUUUUAACAGUAACUUUAAAUCAGUAAUGAGAUUUAAUUUUACUAAUUACUUCAUUAUUUCGUUUUCGAUCUAAUAUUGUGUAAUCCUACAUUUAAAUGUGCAACCUCCGUAGUGCAAGGGUUAGUCUUACUUUAAAUUCAAAAAUUGUGAAAUGCAAACCAAUGUGAAUGUACUCAAUGUAUACGUGAAAGUACGAGUAACAUGCUUAAAGAAAAAAGCAAACACAAUGAAGAAACAGGUCGUAAAGCAUGUACAAUGACCUAUAGUUGUUAAUUUCUGUGUCAUUUUGGUCUCUUGUGAAGGAUUGUCUCAUUUGCAAUCAUA